AGGACGAACGCUGGCGGCGUGCUUAACACAUGCAAGUGGAGCGACGAACCAGGGCUUGCCCUGGGGCAGAGCCGCGAACGGGUGAGUAACACGUGGGUUACCUGCCUCGAUGACCGGGACAACCCGAGGAAACUCGGGCUAAUACCGGAUGUGCCCGCAAGGGGAAAGGAAGCUUCGGCCUCCGCAUCGAGAUGGGCCCGCGGCCCAUUAGCUUGUUGGUGAGGUAACGGCUCACCAAGGCUUCGAUGGGUAGCUGGUCUGAGAGGACGAUCAGCCACACUGGGACUGAGACACGGCCCAGACUCCUACGGGAGGCAGCAGUGGGGAAUCUUGCGCAAUGCGCGAAAGCGUGACGCAGCAACGCCGCGUGGGGGAAGAAGGCUUUCGGGUUGUAAACCCCUUUCAGCAGGGACGAAGCGAAAGUGACGGUACCUGCAGAAGAAGCGCCGGCUAACUACGUGCCAGCAGGCCGC
rnacentral:rRNA from 1 species